rnacentral:lncRNA from 1 species
UGAGAAGUGGGAGCAGCCGUAGUAUGAAUUCCAUAUGGAUUUGUAAAUUCUGCACCAGAGACAACACAAUAAACCUAAAAAAAAAGAAAAAAAAUAUGCACAACAAACAAAAACAAAAGGGAAGCAUAACACAAUAUGAUCAGUUGUUGAAUUGAGUAGCAGCAAAAUCUUAAAAUCCUUAGGCAAGAGCAAUAACUAGUAGAAAAUAAGGAAUAAAUACAUCAAUUGUAGUAAUAAACUCUAAAUUGGGUAAAGAGUUACCAGAGGAGCAGAAAUCGGUAGCAGAAGAAGGCAAGCUAACAAAUUCUUCGUCAGAAGAAGAAGCAGAGUUCUUAUUAGAAAUGAGGUUAAGAGGAGGAAGUGGAGGAAUGACAGGGAAUAAGAAUGUUU